rfam:Gossypium hirsutum cultivar TM-1 chromosome 2, whole genome shotgun sequence
AACUCAUGGUGAAGGCACCUUCUCAAUAGAUCCUUGUAUCUCUCCCAUGCAUCGUAAAGUGUUGCUAAGUCCAUCUGCACAAAAAAAGAGAAAUCAUUGCGUAAUUU